CGCGUCGCCACGGUGCAGCGAGUGCAUCGCUGACUAAAGAUUUUUAAUCCUGCAGCCGGCUGGAAAAAAUCAGGACGCUAGUCUCGUUUUAACCACCAGGUGGCGCAGCGUUGAUUAGAAGCCUCCAAAGCACUACAGCGUAACUGAGGUCCGACUGUUCAUUUCUACCUGUAACACACAUAUAUUACACCAGACCUAUUUUACUAUUAAGUAUCUGUUGUGUGCUCAAACAUGGGGAGUGUGAAGGGCAACAACUUGUUGAUGGCUUAGCUGUUUUCUGUUCACUGCGAAGUUAUAAUUGUUCUGUGUGGUUUAAAACAGGCAGCGCCACAGCAGCAACACAUUCUUGUUUUCAUUCUCCUCAGCUUUUUCGUGUCUUUAAAUAGAAGGCGUCUCUUAAAAAUAUGUACACACCCACCGCUCUAACAUCUGAUACAACAUAUUGGCUUCACAUAAUACCAUGAUUAUGCGUCGCGGUUUAAUUAAUAUAAUUGAAUGCGCAAGUAAAGACGUAGAGCGCAGUCCAUCUGCGACUACAGCCGCUUAUUUAGGUGAAGUCAAUAUGUUGUAUCAGAUGUUAGAGCGGUGGGUGUGUACAUAUUUUUAAGAGACGCCUGCUAUUUAAAGACACGAAAAAGCUGAGGAGAAUGAAAACAAGAACGUGUUGCUGCUGUGGCGCUGCCUGUUUUAAACCACACAGAACAAUUAUAACUUUGCAGUGAACAGAAAAUAACUAAGCCAUGAACAAGUUGUUGCCCUUCACACUCCCCAUGUUUUAGCACACAACAGAUACUUAAUAGUAAAAUAGGUCUGGUGUAAUAUAUGUGUGUUACAGGUAGAAAUGAACAGUCGGACCUCAGAUACGCUGUAGUGCUUUGGAGGCUUCUAAUCAACGCUGCGCCACCUGGUGGUUAAAACGAGACUAGCGUCCUGAUUUUUUUCAGCCGGCUGCAGGAUUAAAAAUCUUUAGUCAGCGACGCACACGCUGCACCGUGGCGACGCGUCGGUACUGCAGUAAAAACCCUAGUCACUUUGAACCGCUGCCACUGUAAUUACAAGGUACUUGUAAUUGUCCUCAAUGUCUGCUAUUGUUCCUUCUGGGAGUGAGACCCCUUCUGUGUGGAUUACCUUGCCUCUCUUUGUCACCAUCCUCCCACAUCAUCCCCAAUGUCCGAGCUGUAGAUCCUGGUGGUGUGGAUCUGGUGAGUUGAU
rnacentral:lncRNA from 1 species